CAGCUCGGCGGCCGGUAGCUCGGCCAGCACGCGCAGCAGCAGCGGCUCGGGCAGCCCGUCCAGCAUCUCUUUGAGGUUGCUCCUAUUGCUGUUGCCAUGUCAUUGAUAAAGAAACUGAGGCACAGUGAGGUGAAACCACAGGGUCACAGCAAAUGAGUGGUUGAAGCCUGGCUUCAAAUCCAGGCUCAAAAAAUAAAAUAAAAAGCCCUCAA